rnacentral:misc_RNA from 1 species
AAGUCGUAACAAGGUUUCCGUAGGUGAACCUGCGGAAGGAUCAUUACUAGAACAGUGUCUCACACUGUGCAAUAUCCAUUCUCGUGCACUUAAUCAACCCAUCUCAGGUAGAGGUAACUCUUUAAUGGUUACCAUCUGGUAAUCGCCUGGGACUAUCUUUUUCUAUUUGCAUUUAAGCAGCUUUGAAUGAAGGUGAUUAUACACUAGAUACUAUCAGCAAUGGAUCUCUAGGUUCCU